rnacentral:rRNA from 1 species
UAGGGAAUCUUCGGCAAUGGACGAAAGUCUGACCGAGCAACGCCGCGUGAGUGAAGAAGGUUUUCGGAUCGUAAAACUCUGUUGUUAGAGAAGAACAAGGACGUUAGUAACUGAACGUCCCCUGACGGUAUCUAACCAGAAAGCCACGGCUAACUACGUGCCAGUAGCCGCGGUAAUACGUAGGUGGCAAGCGUUGUCCGGAUUUAUUGGGCGUAAAGCGAGCGCAGGCGGUUUCUUAAGUCUGAUGUGAAAGCCCCCGGCUCAACCGGGGAGGGUCAUUGGAAGCUGGGAGACUUGAGUGCAGAAGAGGAGAGUGGAAUUCCAUGUGUAGCGGUGAAAUGCGUAGAUAUAUGGAGGAACACCAGUGGCGAAGGCGGCUCUCUGGUCUGUAACUGACGCUGAGGCUCGAAAGCGUGGGGAGCAAACAGG